rnacentral:rRNA from 1 species
GACCUGAGCUCAUGAGAUACCCCCGAACAUAGC